GCGGAUGUGGCGGAAUUGGUAGACGCGCCAGAUUUAGGUUCUGGUGUCUUACGGCGUGGAGGUUCGAGUCCUCUCAUCCGCACCA
rnacentral:tRNA from 2 species